GGGUCGUUAGCUCAAUUGGUAGAGCAGCUGACUCUUAAUCAGCGGGUUGUAGGUUCAAGUCCUACACGACCCA
rnacentral:tRNA from 1 species